GGGCGGGAUAUGUUUAAACAGCUGAUGGUUGGGUCUGCUGAGCGUAGUGCGGAUGGGGGAGACGACAACAACAUUCAGGCAUCAUGAGAUUUUUGUCAAGUCUCCUUUGGGCAGCUCUUUUGUUAAAACAGGUUUUAGGUGAAUAUGGCAUGGCACAUUUCAGCGAUCAGGGGAACAGUAAAGGCAAAGAUUACUGCAUAUUCUUCAACUCUCAGUGGGCUCGACUACCUCAGGACCUCAGUAAAGCAGCACGGCUGCAGACUUACGAUCUCACCACCUCUGUCCUGUGCUCCCCCUCUGAUGUACCCGAGGGUGGCUUCCCAAACAGCAUCCCAAUGGUGAUGAGAGGAAAUUGCACUUUCUAUGAAAAAGUCCGAUUGGCCCAGAUCAAUGGUGCCAAGGGACUACUGAUCGUCAGCAAAGAUAGACUGACUCCACCCUCAGGCAACAAGUCCCAGUAUGAGGAGAUAGGCAUCCCAGUGGCCUUGCUAAGCUAUAAAGACAUGCUGGACAUCAGUAAGAAGUUUGGGGAGAAACAGCAGGUGGCCAUGUAUGCGCCCAAUGAACCGGUGGUGGACUACAACAUGGUGCUCAUCUUUCUGAUGGCAGUGGGUACAGUGGCUGUCGGAGGAUAUUGGGCUGGCAGCAGGGACAUUAAAAAACGUUACAUGAAGCACAAAAGGGACGACGGUGCAGAGAAACAAGACGAGGAGAUCGUUGACGUCACCCCCAUCAUGAUUUGUGUGUUUGUGGUCAUGUGCUGCUCUAUGCUGGUGCUCUUAUAUUUCUUCUAUGAUCAAUUGGUAUAUAUGACUAUAGCAACGUUCUGUCUGGCAUCUGCUGUCGGUCUGUAUAGCUGUCUUUGGCCUUUUGUCCGAAGACUGCCAUUUGGGAAAUGCAGGAUACCUGAGAAUAACUUGCCAUAUUGCCACAAGCGGCCACAGGUGCGCAUGCUGGUCCUUUCAGCCUUCUGUAUAGGAGUCAGCGUCACCUGGGGAGUUUUCCGCAACGAAGACCAGUGGGCGUGGAUACUUCAGGAUGCGUUAGGCAUCGCUUUCUGUCUCUACAUGCUGAAAACAAUCAGGCUGCCUACUUUCAAGGCCUGCACUCUGCUGCUGGUCGUGCUGUUCGUGUAUGACGUGUUUUUUGUUUUCAUAACACCACUCUUAACUGAGAGUGGGGAAAGUAUCAUGGUUGAGGUGGCGGCUGGUCCCUCUGAUUCCUCUACUCAUGAAAAGCUUCCCAUGGUGCUGAAAGUGCCCAGGUUAAAUUCGUCUCCUCUGGUCCUGUGUGACCGGCCCUUCUCUCUCCUGGGCUUCGGGGAUAUCUUGGUACCAGGUUUGCUUGUAGCGUAUUGUCACAGAUUUGACAUUCUCAUGCAGACUUCUCGAAUAUACUUUCUGGCCUGCACUAUUGGCUACGGCAUUGGUCUUCUCAUCACAUUUGUGGCUCUGGCUCUGAUGCAGAUGGGUCAGCCUGCCCUCUUAUACCUGGUGCCUUGCACACUUCUCACCAGCCUUGCGGUGGCGCUGUGGCGCAAGGAGUUGCCUUUGUUCUGGACAGGAAGUGGAUUUGUGGUGAAUACCAGUUUGAUAUGAGUGCCUUCUUCGAUCGGAAAAGUUCUAGGGUUAUGUACAGUUACUAGAAUUACACCUCCUCCAAUUGUGAUGGAACAAAUCAACUGUACUCAAACCCCAGGACCGUCCACAGAUGAACCCCAGUCCAAUCCGGAGCCGCCAGACUCUGAAACGACCAAUCAGAGUGAGGACCCUCCUCCACCAGCCCAAGUAGA